rnacentral:rRNA from 1 species
UACAGAGGUCUCAAGCGUUGUUCGGAUUCAUUGGGCGUAAAGGGUGUGUAGGUGGCGCCGUAAGUCGGGUGUGAAAUUUCGGAGCUUAACUCCGAAACUGCAUUCGAUACUGCGGUGCUUUGAGGACUGGAGAGGAGACUGGAAUUCAUGGUGUAGCAGUGAAAUUGCGUAGAGAUCAUGAGGGAAGACCAGUGGCGAAAGGCGGG